rnacentral:misc_RNA from 1 species
CCGAGUUUACAACUCCCAAACCCCUGUGAACAUACCUUAUGUUGCCUCGGCGGAUCAGCCCGCGCCCCGGUAAAACGGGACGGCCCGCCAGAGGAACCCCUAAACUCUGUUUCUAUAGUGGAACUUCUGAGUAAAAACCAUAAAUAAAUCA